GCUGACCAGCUAGCCCACCCUAACAAAAACAACAACCCAAUAUAAAUAUAUACCCCAAACACACUACUCCUCCUAUAAACAAACCAUUUUACCCCCCUAGUAUGGGCGACAGAAAAGGAACUAUUGGAGCGAUAGAGAAAGUACCGCAAGGGAACGCUGAAAGAGAAAUGAAAUAACCCAGUAAAGCCUAAAAAAGCAGAGAUUUUACCUCGUACCUUUUGCAUCAUGAUUUAGCUAGUAUUACCCAAGCAAAGAGAACUUUAGUUUGGACCCCCGAAACUAGGUGAGCUACUCCAAGACAGCCUAUCAAUAGGGCAAACCCGUCUCUGUGGCAAAAGAGUGGGAAGAGCUUUGAGUAGAGGUGACAGACCUACCGAACCUAGUUAUAGCUGGUUGCCUGAGAAUUGGAUAGGAGUUCAGCCUCCAGGCUUCUCUAUUCACCGCGGUCUUACCCCUACCGAUGCACUAAAGAAGCCUAGAGAGUUAAUCAAAGGGGGUACAGCCCCUUUGAGACAAGAUACAACUUUUCCAGGAGGGUAAAGAUCAUAUUUACCCAAGGUAACAAUGCCCAGGUGGGCCUAAAAGCAGCCAUCCUUACAGAAAGCGUUAAAGCUCAAGCAUUACACCUUCCCACAUAUUCAGAUAACCAUAUCCCAACCCCCUAAUAUUAUCAGGCCAUCUCAUGCAUACAUGAGAGUGCACAUGCUAAUAUGAGUAACAAGAGAGCCUCCGCCUCUCUCCUUGCACACGUGUAAAUCGGAACGAACCCCCACCGAAACUUAACGGCCCCAAACAAAGAGGGCAAUGAACAACAAGUAAGCAACCAGAAAACCAUCCAAAAAACAACCGUUAACCCCACACUGGUGUGCCAUUAAGGAAAGACUAAAAGAAAAAGAAGGAACUCGGCAAACAUACCAAGCCUCGCCUGUUUACCAAAAACAUCGCCUUUUGCAAAAACAAAGAAUAAGAGGUCCAGCCUGCCCUGUGACUAUAUGUUUAACGGCCGCGGUAUUUUAACCGUGCGAAGGUAGCGCAAUCACUUGUCUUUUAAAUGGAGACCUGUAUGAAUGGCAUUACGAGGGCUUAACUGUCUCCUUUUUCUAGUCAGUGAAAUUGAUCUCCCCGUGCAGAAGCGGGGAUGUAACCAUAAGACGAGAAGACCCUAUGGAGCUUUAGACACCAAGGCAUAUCAUGUCAAACACCCCUAAACAAAGGACUAAACCAAAUGAAUCAUGCCCCCAUGUCUUUGGUUGGGGCGACCGCGGGGAAAUAAAAAACCCCCACGUGGAAUGGGAGUACUACCUCCUACAACCAAGAGCUGCAGCUCUAAAAAACAGAAUAUCUGACCAAUAAGAUCCGGCAACGCCGAUCAACGGACCGAGUUACCCUAGGGAUAACAGCGCAAUCCCCUUUUAGAGCCCAUAUCGACAAGGGGGUUUACGACCUCGAUGUUGGAUCAGGACAUCCUAAUGGUGCAGCCGCUGUUAAGGGUUCGUUUGUUCAACGAUUAAAGUCCUACGUGAUCUGAGUUCAGACCGGAGUAAUCCAGGUCAGUUUCUAUCUAUGAUAUGUUCUUUUCUAGUACGAAAGGACCGAAAAGAAGAGGCCAAUGCUAAAAGCACGCCUCACCCCUCCUAUUGAAAACAACUAAAAUAGGCAAAAGGGCAUACCCCUCCACGCCCAAGAUAAUGGCAU
rnacentral:rRNA from 1 species